UCGUCAUCGGUGGUGUGAGCUUGUUAUUAAACACAAAUACACAGCAGGGUAUGCUGAUGUUGAGAAAUUCCUGAAAGAAGAUCAGGCAAUGGGCGUCUACCUAUAUGGAGAAUUAAUGGUGACCGAGGAUGCAAAACAGCAAGAAAUUGCUUAUAAAUGUUUUGCCAGCACCUGUGACCAAAUGGAUCCAUCCUCAGCUAAAGUAGUGGCAGACAUGUUAUUCUGAUGAGAAAAGACCAGAGACUUAAUGUAUCUGCUAACGAAAUGGUGGUGGUUAUUAGGAUUUCCUUGACCCUGGACAUAAAAACAAAAAAAGGAUUAUGUGAAUGUAAACUAUCACCUAAUACACAAUUUAUCCACUUAACUGUCUUGAUUCAUAAUGAAUUAAAGGUGCUAAUCCAGGCCUGAAAAAAAAUCACCAGACCUGAAAUAAUUGCCUUUAUUUGAAUAAGCAUUUUGUGCUAAUUUUGAGUGUGAGCAACUAGUGACUGCUAAAAUUUCUUUUAAAACUUUAAUUAUUUACCAAUCUUAAUCUUGAUUGUUAAUUGGUAUUUUUAUUGUUGUUUAACAUUCAACCCAUUGGGAUGUUUCAAAAAAAUAGAACAGAACU